rnacentral:rRNA from 1 species
GUAUGAAUGGCUAAAUGAGGGCCAAACUGUCUCCUAAGACUAAUCAAUGAACCUGAUCUCCUAGUACAAAAGCUAGAAUAUACCCAUAAGACGAGAAGACCCUGUGGAGCUUAAAAUAUUUGUACUAACCAACAUUAAACCCAAUAAGGCACCACACCACUAUAAUAGUACACAUUUUUAGUUGGGGCGACUGCGGAACAAAACAAAACUUCCAUGCCAAGGAACACCAAUUCCUGCCACCAGGUCAACAAACCAACACACUAUAUGACCCAGCACUGCUGAUCAACGAACCAAGUUACCCCAGGGAUAACAGCGCCAUCCUCUUCAAGAGCCCAUAUCGCCAAGAGGGUUUACGACCUCGAUGUUGGAUCAGGACCCCCAGGUGGUGCAACCGCUACCAACGGUUCGUUUG